rnacentral:rRNA from 1 species
AAACCAACAGGGAUUGCCUUAGUAGCGGCGAGUGAAGCGGCAAGAGCUCAAAUUUGAAAUCUGGUACCUUCGGUGCCCGAGUUGUAAUUUGAAGAAAGCUAUCUUGGAUUUGGCCUUUGUCUAUGUUCCUUGGAACAGGACGUCACAGAGGGUGAGAAUCCCGUGCGAUGAGGUGUCCAUUUCUAUGUAAGAUGUUUUCGAAGAGUCGAGUUGUUUGGGAAUGCAGCUCUAAGUGGGUGGUAAAUUCCAUCUAAAGCUAAAUAUUGGCGAGAGACCGAUAGCGAACAAGUACAGUGAUGGAAAGAUGAAAAGAACUUUGAAAAGAGAGUGAAAAAGUACGUGAAAUUGUUGAAAGGGAAGGGUAUUAGAUCAGACUUGGUAUUUAGUUAUCAUUACUCCUUGUGGGUGGUGCUCUAGCUUUUUACUGGGCCAGCAUCAGUUUUGGUGACAGGAUAAUAGCAAUUGAAUGUGGCUCCUCGGAGUGUUAUAGCUUUUGUUGAUACUGUCUACUGGGACUGAGGUCUGCGGCYUUGCCUAGGAUGCUGGCGUAAUGAUCCAAUACCGC